AAUUAUUUCAAUAGGACGCUGUCUGUGAAUCCCAAUUUUAGUGUUUCUGAUCCCUUUCAUCUCAACCAGUCCCUCGGAACUGAAAGCAGCAGGUACUGCUCUGUCCUUGUAGUUAGGGCAGUUUUACAAUCUGUCCUGAUCAUUAGUGGAAAAUAUAUAUAUACAUCACACAAACUGGGUGUUGCAUUGCUGGAAGUAUCGGUAAAUUUCACAGUUUUCUUCAUCUAUAUUUUCGGUUCCUUGUUUUCUAAUUUUAAACUUCUGGUUACCCCUACAACAAGGAAGAAAAAUAUGUAUUACAGGUUACAUGCUGAUUGUGUGGUGCUUGCUUUGGCAUACUGUCUGUAAUUCUUCUAGAGAAGUAAAAUGGCAAGAGCUCCCAAAAGCUCACUAACAGGCACGCAAGUGACACUUCUCUGUCAGCAGGGAUGCAAAAAUAUGAAAAAUGUUGUAAUUCCAGAGACUGCCAGUCACCUGUUGAGAAACAGAAUAAGCCCAGGAGAGGCAGCAGGAGUAGAAACGUCUUUGGGCUUCACGGGGAGGCUGAGGACUGAGGAGUUGAUCUUUGUCAUUGCCUGCCUGUCAAAGUCAGUCAGCAGGAAGCCAAAGCAACACGUCGGUCUCCAUCAGCCUCAUGCUCACAGGGAAGCAGGACGUCUGACCUGGUGGCACCAGACUGGCACCGUCAGCAGGAUCAGCACAGCGGCGUGGUGGCCACACCAAAGCCUUCCAUCAUGCCCUAAGCGUCCUGGAAAUAAAGUGGUGAUGCAGCUAAAUUUAAUCUCUCUGAUCCCUCUUGAGAACCUCUCUUCUUCAGGCUAUUCCCACAUAGACAAAAAGAUUUUGUCUCACUGAACCUCUUUAUUGACCGCAGCUGCCACCCCUGCUCUGACCAGUGACCUUAUCUGAAUAUUCAAAUCUAUUGUAGAUCACAAGUUCAAAUGAUUUUCUUACCCUUUGAAAGCCCUGUUUUCAUAGUGAGCUGAUUACAAAUGACAAUAUUAUAAGGGGCGUAAUUGAGAUUCUACAAACAAUCUGCACCUCAGAUUUACAAAAAUAAUGUGUACGGAAGUGUGAGCGCUGCUGACAUCUCCUUCCCCCACCAAACUGCCGAGCUGAUCCUGUUUGUGCAAACACGUAUGGCCCCCUCAGGUACCAAAAGACACAUUGUGCAGAAGGAUUUCAAAAGGACUUGCCAAGUGUCCUGCCACACCAUACACACCACUGAUUUUUAUUCAUCCUCAGCACAGGUGGGAUGAAGGCCACGACUGCAUGGGAUGCUCAGCUUCGUUCCAGGAGGGUAACAUGUCCCAGGGAGCCACCACGUGCUUGCACCAUCCCAAGGGCAAAGUCCAUCUAUUAUAUGCCAUAAACACAGGCUGAUGCUGAAUCCAGCCUUCUGCCUUCUCUGAGCACCAAGGGGAGUCCUGAGCUAGCCAACCUCCAAGGCUCUGGACAGGUUUGGAAAUAGCCUGAAGUUUUCAUGGGUUUGAGGUUUUGCUGCCAUUGCACAGGCUUGGAUCCAGAGCUAAACUUGCUGAAGGACAGGAAUACAUGCUCAUCUCACACGAAGGCUGAUGGUAUUUGAAUUUUGCUGUGUUGUAGCAGGCCAGCAUGCAGCAAACUUUAAGGAAGACACCAAGAGGAGAGCAGGGCAAAGGCUGGGGGUACACCAGCUCCAAUGUCAGAUUGAGAGGUGCAAACUCAGGACGCAGAAAUGUCCAUAAACUUUCUAGCUGCUCUUUGGUUUCAUGGUGUUUGUUCAGUUGAAAAAUGCUUUGUCUUUCAUUUAAGCCACUUUUUUUUUUUUUUUUUUUUUUUCUGUUAAAAAUGUUCUUUUUUUAUUUCGUUCUUACUUUUUCUGAGAAGAAAACCAAUGCAUUUUCCAACUAUUUGAGAUAAGACUGUUACAGUCAAGGAUGCUAUAUAAAAAUGUUAACUUUUGCCUUAAUUUAAUUCCCUUUCUCAUUUCCUGCUCUAUUUUUAUAGUGUUUUGCAAUUUAUUUUCCCAUUUCUAUUUUGACUUUAUGUAUUUCUUUGAUAUUUUUUUUCUUCUUUUGCCUCUGGUAUUUUCUCACAAAUAGCAGAAAGCAAACUUACAAUACUGAACCUAAAUCAAAGUCUGUGCUACCUGAGUGGUUUCAAAAUUGUCAGAAUUAAGUGAUCCUAAUAAGAAUUUCAAGAGAAGCCCCUUAUCUCAAGCGAUUUUUAUCUAGCUGUCUGCCUGUCCAUCCAUCAUUCCAUUGACUUAGUCAUCCUGCUUAGAGAGACCGCAUGUUUGAUGUUUUAAAGAAUAAUGAAUCAACAGACUCAGAAGAGCUAGAGUAUCAAGUUGGAUUAAGUUGGACUGAGCUGUACACAAUAUUUAUACUGAGGGAAACACAGAAAACUCAGCUUGGUCAGACUUCUGUUAUAAAGCACAAAUCAGUCCAAGCCUGUUCAUAGACCUGCAGAGGUUCAGGAACUUCACCAACCACAUCGGUAUAGCCUCAGCUGAGAAUAGGAAGCACACGGCAAGGAAGAUUUUGGAAUUUUGUCCCAUAUAAGUGAAGAGAUAGGUGAAGGUGGGAGAAAGUAACCCCCUAAAACUCAUAAUGAAAUUGAGAAAUUCAAAGCCAUACAAAUGAAAAGCAAAGAGAUUACGGGUAAGAAAUUUAGCGGGAUAAAUAUCUUGAGCUUCAAAAUGCUUGCAAAAAUGUUUUAUUAAAAACAUCAGGAAAGACUGUCCAAGCCAAAUGUCCAGCAGAUACCAGCGUGCAGCCUGGUGGUCAGUGGCGAUCCAUUCAGCAGGAGCAGUCCUCAGUCAUGGCCUUUGCUGGCAGGAAGGAUGAUCUCAAGAGGAUCACACACACAGGAACCCCAUGUCAUAACAGAUCCCCGUGCUAUUUAUUCUUCCACGCAUCAUUAUGAACAGUCCAGUGUGGAAUACAAGGCUUAAGUGCACCAGCGCUCAUAAAGCCUUUGGAGAUCAUUACAUGGAUGGUGAUGCAGGAGUGCAGAGUAUUGUUGUAAAUUUGAAUUUUCUGCCGUAUGUUUUCAAAAUGCCAACAUAAAUAGCACGGGAAAUAAUAAAAUGAAUAAAACACACGACUUCA
rnacentral:lncRNA from 1 species